CAAGAGGUAGUUUAAUUAAAAUAUUAAUUUUGGGGAUUAAUGAUGAAAAUAUUUUUCUGUCUUGA
rnacentral:tRNA from 1 species